rnacentral:rRNA from 1 species
UGGGAAUCUGCCCUUGGGUUCGGGAUAACAGUUGGAAACGACUGCUAAUACCGGAUGAUGUCUUCGGACCAAAGAUUUAUCGCCCAGGGAUGAGCCCGCGUCGGAUUAGCUAGUUGGUGGGGGUAAAAAGCCUACCAAGGCAACGAUCCGUAGCUGGUCUGAGAGGAUGAUCAGCCACACUGGGACUGAGACACGGCCCAGACUCCUACGGGAGGCAG